CCUUUGCAACCCAGGCCAUUCUGUGAUUCUAUGAAUAUUUGCAUAAUGUAAAUAUUUGGAAGUAAAUAUUCCAGUGUAAAAUAUCCCAGUAUAAAACCCCCAAGAAAAGCUUUUUUAUUUUGGGCUGAGAAUAACCAUUUGUACACCCCUCCAAUGCCAGCCAUAAAAAGCAAGCAAGCCAGCAGUCAGAGCAUACAGCUCACUUACCAGUUCCCCUUCUUACAGCUCUCAUAUCCCUGUGCUCACCCUGAGCACCCAAAGGACAGUCUUGCAUCUGUCCACGCAUUUAUUACAUCAGCACACACAUCCUUGUUUCAUUUCCUUAAUUUAUCUAUUAAAGUUUAAUGCACAAUUCAGACAAAUAACUAAAUCCACAGAUACUUGUUCUCAUAUUUUCCUAAAUAGUUCAGAGAAGGACAAAGCACCUCAAUGCCAGUGGCUGCAAGCUGGCUGAGCACUUUGCCGCCAUGCCCCAGCACCCAGUCACAAAGUGUCCUACAACUGGAACUGUUGGAAGACACGUGACAAACACAGUGAUCAUCAGACCAUGUCAUGAGAUCACCAGUCAACUGGAUGUGCACUCUGGACUUUCGCUGUGUUCUCCAGAAGGGCUUUUUGUGCAUCUGAAGCAUCAUCUCUAAAUCAAGGCAUCCAAGAGAGGAAACGAUGAAGACCGCCCAUCCAACUUUACCUUGCUUCCCUCUCUCCUCAGCCUGCACCUGGUUGUGCUCUAUCUACUGGUCUUCAUAUUAGGCUAGAUGAACUGAUCAUGCCACACAGUUUGACAUUCCAGUUCCUGUCAAUGGCGCUAUUGAACACACAUAAAAAAAAUGCAGUACCUGGAAGUCUGAUGAGGACUUUUCUUAACAGCACACAUCAAAAAGUGUACCUGGAGGAACUACCUGAAUUUGAGACCUUACAAACACUCCAAGGUCACAAUAACACAUUAAAGCGCACAGAAGGCUCGCACAAAAUUCAGUGGACAUCUCCACUACAGUAGUGUAAUAUGUGUAAAGGAAGGAAAAACAAUCAUAACCAUGGCAAAGAAGAAGUGUGAUCCUAAACCAGGUGGUGGUCAAGUGAUAUUUUCUGGACACUUAUAUUAGAAUUGUCUGGGGGAGGAAAAAGAGAAAACCAGCCAGAGCUAAGAAUAUAAGAUAUAGCUAGCAACCAUGGCAACUCUAAUAUUUAACUACAUAAUCCAGGGUCAUUAUCUAGUAAUAGCUAUAUAACAAGUGCUCAAAAUAACCAGCUAUCCCAUCCCUUUCACCCAAACUUAGAUACCCCAAAACAUCUGUUAUGGAAAUACAUGUGUGUUUCUGGAACAUAAAUUAAAUAACAUUCUGUGACCUAAAUGUGGUGUGUUCUCACUUCCCCACCCUUUUCUUUCUUUUCGAUCAUGUCUCCCAUUCCAGACUGAUUUUGUCCCUCCUACUUCAUAUCGCUGGCAUAAGAGGGAAGAGUCUGAGCGAAGACUGCAAACAGAGCUAUGAUGCAUUAUAUUAGCGAAGCAAAUCUACUUAAUGUUCUCUUAAAUUCUUUCAGUUUCUUGCUUCUUUUUGUCCUUUUACUAACUUCAGUCUACCUUCUCACUUGCUCUGCCCUCCGAUUAUUCCAUUUUUGAACCUGCAACCUCCCUUUCACAUUUCCCAUUUUCUUAUGAAAUAGUUGUCAUCUUCUCUGUCACUCCUAGUCUAGUAGAUUCUCUUUCCAUCUGGACUGCACACAAAAGAGAGGGGCAAAUAAGCUCUGUUCUAGCUCUGAAGAAAAGCAACCCCAGUCAUUUCACAGUACUGCCUUUCAGUACUCCAGCCAUGGAUAAUCCACGCACUACAGGGAGAGACAAGUCAAACUAAGAAUUGAAAACUAUUGAAAAGUUUCAAAAAUAGUAAAUAAUUGUUGACCAUUUUAAAAUAAUUUUAUUAAUCUUUCUUUUUCUUAAAGAUGCUUCCUUUAGAAAUACACCUUUUUGUUUUGUUUCUAUACAUAAAAUGUUACUCUGAACUUUAGAGGCUGGAAUAAAACCACCAAACCACCACACCUCCAAUAACUCUACAGACUCAGGUUGAUUUUUCUUUCUCCUAGCCACCAAAUUAAAUUAAGAAAAAAUGGUAUUUUCUGCUUUGCACCUGACGACCAGCAUCGAUAUUCUGCAUGCACAGUGUUACCAGUAACAUGUGCCAACAUUCCCAGGUGGGACUCAACACUUGAGUUCCACGGGUGAACUGACUUGUGAAGAAGAAAUUCAGAACAGUAGCAGGGCCUUCAGCCAACAGCACUUCUCAUUGUCUUUGGUAAAAAUGGAAGCUGAAAGGCACUGCACAAAUUAUUUGUCGAUAUUACAAAAGAUUCUUUGUCCAUUUUAUCAAAUGGCUAUUUAAAAGAUAUAGGCAGGUGUAUUAAGCAAAUGUGAAUCUACACUUCCAUACAUUCAAAUUCAAAUUCAGAAAAUUUAGAUGCCUGUAACAUUUCCUGAUCUGCUCACAGUUCAGAAAGCUACAAGUCUCCACAUUUUCCAUUUGAUAACUGUUCUUUAGUCUAAAAUCUCUGCAUCCCACUGGGCUUCGUUUAGAAAAGACAUAGCAUCCUUCUCUUCUGAGAAAGGUGUUCUCAAUAUGCAUGUCACCCUGGCCAUCAUGAUCCACUCUUAACAUCUUCAGUUCAGCAUAUGAUAACCUAUAAAUUUCUUUUGACUUUCAAACUGUUACUAUUGAGAACAAUUUUAGAUUCAAAUGACUCACUGCUAGACAAAAAAUUUCAUGUAUGUCUUGCUUAUCUCUACGCUCAUAUCCCUUUCUGCAUGGUUUUACACAAAAAAUAAAUGUGUUCAGGUCAUGCAUGGUUACAUGUGUGUAGAAGUGUAUUUCCUAGUAACAUUUUAAUACACCUUCCAACUUCAACCAAACUUUACAGGAUAACAAUGUCUCAGUUUCUCAAAGGUUUAAAAAACAAACAUACUGCUACUGAAAAGAAAGACACCCCAAGGAAGAAAAACAAUACCAUGAUCCCUCCUCCAAAGCACUGAAAGAUGGAGAUCUAUCUGGAAGGAGAGAGGGACUUCAUAAAUAAUUCCCUGGAGAAGAAGUUUUAGUUGGUACUCGCAGCUUUUUAAACCACAAAACCAAAUACCUACAGUGCACCUACCAGUAGGAAAUAACAAUCUUUGAUCCUAAUGCUUGUUGGUCUAUUUAGAUUAAAAUAUUUGAAAGGUAGGGAAUGGUGCUGCAUGGACAUCUUUCAUGUCCAGGCACUUCAUGACUACACAGCAUGUGAACACCUGGGCCACAGAUGUGCAAUUAGGAGGCUCAU